rnacentral:lncRNA from 1 species
AAAAAGGUAAAGAAGAACAGUUCCCCUCCCCUUUCCCUUUAUGGGCAACUGUUAUGGCGUGAAUUUUUCUAUACAGCAGCAACAAAUAAUCCACGCUUUGAUAAAAUGGAAGGAAACCCUAUCUGUGUUCAGAUUCCUUGGGAUAAAAAUCCUGAGGCUUUAGCCAAAUGGGCGGAAGGCCGGACAGGCUUUCCAUGGAUUGAUGCCAUCAUGACACAGCUUCGUCAGGAGGGUUGGAUUCAUCAUCUAGCCAGGCAUGCAGUUGCUUGCUUCCUGACACGAGGGGACCUGUGGAUUAGUUGGGAAGAAGGAAUGAAGGUAUUUGAAGAAUUAUUGCUUGAUGCAGAUUGGAGCAUAAAUGCUGGAAGUUGGAUGUGGCUGUCUUGUAGUUCCUUUUUUCAACAGUUUUUUCACUGCUAUUGCCCUGUUGGUUUUGGUAGGAGAACAGAUCCCAAUGGAGACUAUAUCAGGCGUUAUUUGCCUGUCCUAAGAGGCUUCCCUGCAAAAUAUAUCUAUGAUCCCUGGAAUGCACCAGAAGGUAUCCAAAAGGUAGCCAAAUGUUUGAUAGGAGUUAAUUAUCCUAAACCAAUGGUGAACCAUGCUGAGGCAAGCCGUUUGAAUAUCGAAAGGAUGAAACAGAUCUAUCAGCAGCUUUCACGAUAUAGAGGACUAGGUCUUCUGGCAUCAGUACCUUCUAAUCCUAAUGGGAAUGGAGGCUUCAUGGGAUAUUCUGCAGAAAAUAUCCCAGGUUGUAGCAGCAGUGGAAGUUGCUCUCAAGGGAGUGGUAUUUUACACUAUGCUCAUGGCGACAGUCAGCAAACUCACCUGUUGAAGCAAGGAAGAAGCUCCAUGGGCACUGGUCUCAGUGGUGGGAAACGUCCUAGUCAGGAAGAGGACACACAGAGUAUUGGUCCUAAAGUCCAGAGACAGAGCACUAAUUAGAAAACAUUCAGGAGGAAUACUGUUGCAGCUGAAAUUGGUGGGGAGUUCAAUACUUUUCAAUUAAGUUAUUUAAAAAUAUUCUUCAUUGAUGGAAAGCAGUUACAUAUUGAAAUAUGUUGUUUCUAAUGACAUUUCUGUGGUUUUUAACUUUUUAAUGAAUUUCACAGAGGACAAUUGGUAAUUUGUAUAUAAAGAACUUGGCAAGAGAAUUUGCUUAAUGUAAAUAUAAACAGUCACAAUUAGUAUAGACCCAUCGAUAUAUUUUUGAUAAUUUUUCAUGUAUGGUAAAGUUAAAAUGACAAAUUGAUAUUCUGAUAUAAAACUCAAAGUUUUGAAGUCAGUGGGAAAAAAGGAGGUUUUUAGACUUUCUUAAAAGACGUUAAAAUUUUAGGACAGAAUUUUCUUGAUGUUGUUUGAUCUAACUUUGCACUCUUUGAUAAUAAUGUUUUAGAUAAUGUGCGUAAUCCAAAUUGGUAUUGUAGCCUCUGUUAACACAGACAGUAUAUGUUUUAAACUUUGAUGUAAACCUUUUUAGACCCAAACUUGUGGAAGUAUCAUGUGUUAAGUUCUCUGUCUCUGUUUCUUUGUUCAUUUAUUACUAAAAUGAACUUGUUAUUAAAGUAUAUGCAAAU